CGUGUCCAAAAGAGGACGAGAUGCCGCAGAGCUGCCAUUGAAGGCUGUGAAGGCUAGGAGCAGCACAAGGAGAUGGUGGACACUGGCAGCCAUGGUAAGUUACUCUGUGUGUGCGCUAGGCAGGCCUGCUAUGUUUAUUUGCUCUGUGAUGAUAUCUGUAUCUUUGAGAUACUGGGGCUAUUUGUACCAAGAUGAUAUACUAUGGCCACCACUGGUGGUUGAUCUGAAGUCCUUGGUCUGGUUGUUCACCGCCCAAUGUACUUUGCAGAUGCAGAUAAGGGAGUUGGGAAGUCCUUCGCUUAGCAGAUUGGGUUGAUGGACGGCGGAGUUGCUGGAUUUUCUCUUUGUUCUAAACUUCUGAUGACCAAGAUUGUACACGUAGUAAGUUCGUCAUGGGCUACCAAUUUAUUGUGCAUGAAUGAAACUGCUAAACACGGUCAGGUUUCAGGUUUCGUCCUGCCAGAAAAAAGCAGCUGGGCAUCCGCCCUGCAAAACUCGAAGCAUCUCUGCAGCUUGGUCACUUUACACCUCUAUGUAUACUUUAUCAUAAAUGCCGAAAU
rnacentral:lncRNA from 1 species